GACGAACGCUGGCGGCGUGCUUAACACAUGCAAGUCGAACGGAAAGGCCCUGCUUGCAGGGUACUCGAGUGGCGAACGGGUGAGUAACACGUGGGUGAUCUGCCCUGCACUUCGGGAUAAGCCUGGGAAACUGGGUCUAAUACCGGAUAGGAGCCAUUUUUAGUGUGAUGGUUGGAAAGUUUUUUCGGUGUAGGAUGAGCUCGCGGCCUAUCAGCUUGUUGGUGGGGUAAUGGCCUACCAAGGCGGCGACGGGUAGCCGGCCUGAGAGGGUGGACGGCCACAGUGGGACUGAGAGACGGCCCAGACUCCUACGGGAGGCAGCAGUGGGGAAUAUUGCACAAUGGGCGCAAGCCUGAUGCAGCGACGCCGCGGGGGGGAUGACGGCCUUCGGGUUGUAAACUCCGUUCGCUAGGGACGAAGCUUUUUGUGACGGUACCUAGAGAAGAAGCACCGGCUAACUACGUG
rnacentral:rRNA from 1 species